AUUUAUUAAAUUAUUAAUUUUUGUUUAUUAAAAUAUUAUUAUUAUUUAUUAUUUUUUAGAAAAAUUUAUUUUAAUCAUAGUUUAUUAGUAUUGUGAAAGAAAUUUUUAAAAUUUAAAAAAGAAAAAUUUAUUUUUUGUACCUUGUGUAUCAGGGGUUAUUAAUUUGACAUUAAUUAUUUAAUUUUCUCGAUUUUAAAAGAUUUAACUUAAUAUUUAUUUUUAUGUAAAAUAAUAAUUAAAAAUAUUAUGUUUGAAAUGAAACGUUAUUCGUUUUUAAAUAUAUCUAGUUUUUUAAGAAAUGAAUUAAAUUUAUUUUAAUAUAAGAAUAUUUUUAUUUAAAAUUUUAUUUUUUAUAUUAAAUUAAUAUUUUUUAGGAUAAGCUAAAAAAUAUAUUUUUAUAAAUUUUUAAAAGUUUAAAAUUUGUAGGGUUAGAAAUUUUUAUCUAAAGUAUGUUAUUAUUUAUUUUAAUAAAAAUAUUAUUUUUAUCAAUUUUAAAUUUUAUAUUAAAAUAAUAUAAUUAAUAUUAAUUUAUAUGAAAUAAUGAUAAUAUUAGUAUAAUUUAAUUUAUUUAAUAAUUAAUAAUUUAAGUUUAUUUAAAGGAAUUAGGCAAAAUAUUUUUUCGCCUGUUUAUUAAAAACAUGUCUUUUUGUUAUAUAUUUAAAGUCUAACCUGCCCACUGAUUAAUUUUAAUGGCCGCAGUAUUUUGACUGUGCUAAGGUAGCAUAAUCAAUAGUUUUUUAAUUGAAAGCUGGUAUGAAAGGUUGAACGAAAAAAAUUCUGUCUCUAAAUAAAUUAUAGAAUUUUAUUUUUAAGUUAAAAAGCUUAAAUAAUUAUUAAAGACGAGAAGACCCUAUAGAGUUUAAUAAUGUAAUUUAUAUUACUUUUAGAAUUUAAAAUUAUAUAAUUUAAAGUUAUUUUAUUGGGGUGAUAAAAAAAAUUAAUAAACUUUUUUUUUUAAAAAAACAUUGAUUUAUGAUUUUUUGAUCCAUUAUUUAUGAUUAUAAGAGUAAAUUACCUUAGGGAUAACAGCGUUAUUUCUUUUAAGAGUUCAAAUCGAAAAAGAAGUUUGCGACCUCGAUGUUGGAUUAAAAUUAAUUUUUGGUGUAGCAGCUAAAAUAUUAAGUCUGUUCGACUUAUAAAAUUUUACAUGAUCUGAGUUUAAACCGGUGUGAGCCAGGUUGGUUUCUAUCUUAAUUGAAUUUUUAUAUUUUAGUACGAAAGGAUUGAAUAUAGAUAUUUAAUAUUUUUAAAGAAUAAUAUU
rnacentral:rRNA from 1 species